rnacentral:rRNA from 1 species
GACGAACGCUGGCGGCGUGCUUAACACAUGCAAGUCGAACGGUAAGGCCCUGCUUUUGUGGGGUGCUCGAGUGUCGAACGGGUGAGUAACACGUGAGUAACCUGCCCUUGACUUUGGGAUAACUUCAGGAAACUGGGGCUAAUACCGGAUAGGAGCUCCUGCUGCAUGGUGGGGGUUGGAAAGUUUCGGCGGUUGGGGAUGGACUCGCGGCUUAUCAGCUUGUUGGUGGGGUAGUGGCUUACCAAGGCUUUGACGGGUAGCCGGCCUGAGAGGGUGACCGGCCACAUUGGGACUGAGAUACGGCCCAGACUCCUACGGGAGGCAGCAGUGGGGAAUAUUGCACAAUGGGCGGAAGCCUGAUGCAGCAACGCCGCGUGCGGGAUGACGGCCUUCGGGUUGUAAACCGCUUUCGCCUGUGACGAAGCGUGAGUGACGGUAAUGGGUAAAGAAGCACCGGCUAACUACGUG